CUACUAGACCUUCCUAUUCAAUGCACAAAACUCAGAAACAGAACCAACAGAGAUGUGGGCAUCGGUGUGGCAUUAGUAAGUUCAUCUCUGCUUCUCUCUCAACUGUUUUCACAAGGGGAAGAACCACAGAUGAGUGGUAGAGCUCAAACUUAGCGAGCACAAGCUAUAAUGUCCGAUUCUUGGUAUGUCCAGGAAAGGCCUCAAAAGUCUCUUGCCUGCAAACUUGGAAAGCCACAACUAGUUUCUCUUGAUACAGCUGAACUAGAUGAACCAACAGGCUCACUAGAUAGCAGGCCAGAUGCCUGCUAGAUGCAAGGGUAUGUACAUGAUAGGUGCUGGCAGUGGUCUGGCUUUGGGUGUAGUAGAGGCCACUGUCCUGUCACCAGCAUCGAGGUAAGCUUCAACUGCCAAUACAGCUGGAUUCUGUACAUGAAAUAGAACUGACAUUUUGUCGUUUGCUUCAUGAAACAUAACAUCUUCUGCUGAUCUUAGCCAGAUGCCAGCUUAGAAAGAAGACUUUAUGAGCAUUGGUGCUCAAAUUUGUUUUCCCCUCCCCCAAUCCUUUUACUCCAGUUUUUCUCUAUUGCACCACGUCUAUUGAAUUCUAAGUCUGUUUUCCCCCACUAUAGCACUUCUAAAACUUCAAAUGCUUAACAAAGUAUGGGAGGUUCUAUAUUAGUGGCCAAAGACUGCUUUCUCACGUUGUGUUUUGAUGUGUUAAAUGGUAAGUUUGAGAUAAAGCUGAUUAGUUCUUAGCAGAAUGGAAAUGCCAUUUAACUAAUGCAGUGAAAUGUGUUGAAUUUACUGCACCAGAACACAGACAGAACUAAAUUGCACGUUCAUGUCUGUGGAUGGGGACUUCCCUUUAUUUCAUUUCUGUUUAUUAUCAUCACUACAUAAUCUACAUGGAAAAAAAUUAGCCCCCCCAUCCUUCAUGUUCCUCUCUAUGGCUGUUUGAUUCCCCACAGAACUGACACAACAUGUGAUAGAGUUUACAAAUAAAAGUACGAGACAGAAUCUCCCCAAAGUUAUACCCCAUUGACCUCCAUUCUCUUCAAAGGAUUUAAAUCCAGCCUGGGGCUUUUAAAGACAUGAAUUCUUACUUGUAAAUCGGAAAGCCUUAUGAAAGCUUAACAAGAUUAUAAAAAGAAAGUGAACAACAAAAGGAUUCUCCCCACCAUCACAUACACCCCCCCCCCAGUUGACUGUGUCCCUGAAUGUGUGUGGGUGUGUGGGUGUAUUUUGGGUGAAUGAGGUGUUAGGGGAGGGGUAGUACCUCUGUUGUGGGGACACAUUGUACUCCUUCGGGGGUAGUCUGUCCACUUUUUGUUGCUACCCUGCACUCAGCUCUCAUCUGUGGCUCCUAGAAGCUGUCAGCAUGCAACAAUGGCCAGGAAUUGGUUAUAAGUGGCUGGCUAAACCAGGUGAAAGUAGCCAAUGGGUAUCAAACCUUCCAUGAGUUAGGGAUUUCCUCUGCAUGUGAAGACAGGCUUUGGCAGAUUGGGCAGAUGAGGCCAAUAGUGGGUCCAACAGUCCAGAAGGUGGUUUCUGCAUGUGGUGUAGAGGAAAGUGAGGGGCAGGUGGGCUUGUCCACCUGCGAAGGUAGCCCAUCUAGGAGAAGGAAAACUUUGAUCCUAAACUCUCUGCUGCCUUUUGAGAUAUCUUCAGGAGAAGAUAAGGCUAAAUAGUAAACCUUACACAAAUCUGGAUUGGAGUCCCAGCACUAUCGUCAAUGACUUUUUUGUUCCACACACCCAGCAUAAUAACUGGCACAAUGGGCAGAUAUUUCUACUAUGUCUUUUGCCCAACAAAUGGAGAUAUUUUAAAAUAAAGAAUUUGUUUUCUUUCAAGGCACCUCAACUACAGAAAGAAUGAUAGACUUUGCAACUUUUUGAGCCUCAUGAGGUAUGUGAGAGUGGGAUGCAUAACAUGUUGCAUAUCCAAAUGAGACUAAUAGGAAAAUUUCUCCAAGCACAGGCAAAGAAGUGGAGUAGAACAUAUGGCACAGCUCAUCUGCAAAAGAGAUAUGGAACUGGGUUGAGAGAAUCACUCCAAGCCUAAGCUUACAACAAGUCACCACAAUCAGCCUUUCAUUUAUAGGGUGUUAAAACAGAUGAAUCUUAAGAAACCUAAGAUAAAUUUUAAAAUAAUGUAUACUAACAAGUACAUUUUAAGGUACACACACAUUUUACAUUCUGUCCUUCAUCAUAAAUGCUUCCAGGGCAGAACACAGCAGUAUAACAAUAAAACAUGAUCAAAACUUGUCACAUAUAUCCAACACAUCUGUUUUUCAUAUCUUCUGCAAAUAUCCAAAAGCCAAUUCAAAGGCCUGGAGAAAGAGAACCAUCUUCAGGUGCUGCCAAAAAAUAGAAUGUAGGUGCCAAGACCAUAAACUCCAGGACGCCAAUGCGAAAAACAGGGGUGAACAUCUUCCGGGGCUGAAUUCCCAGAUGAGUCACAUGACAAACACGAGAUCACAGCCCUGAAAGAUGUGUUAUUUUCAGGGCUGUGCUCUCAUGUGUUUUGGGGUGCUGCAGAAGAUGGUAGCCCAAAAAACAGCUUUUGGGGGGUGAGACUGUGGUGCAAAAUUGUGGUGCCCAAAAAUGUGCAUUUUUGAGCUCUGUACUCUUGCAAGAAAAAAAUGGAUGUCCCAUUUUCAGGACAGUUGUGGCGUGUGCAAAACUUUAUGGGGGAGGAUUUUCCAUUGCUGAGGUGCCAUUGAUUAGAGGGCCAUCUUAGGCCCCAUCUGCACUAUACACUUAAAGAAGUAUCAUAUAAUUCUAACAGUCAUGGCUUCCCCCACAGAUUCCUGGGAACUGUAGUUUGCUAAGAAUGCUGAGAGUUGUUAGAAGUUCCCUGUAUCCCCCACACAGCUACAAUUCCCAGAGCUCCCUGGGAAGAGGGUUUGACUGUCAAAUCACUUUGAGAACUGUAGCUUUGCGAGGGAAACAGGGCUCUCAUAACAACUUUCAACACUCUUAACAAACUACAGUUCCCGGGAUUCUAUGGGGUGGGCUAUGGCUGCUUAAAGUACUUUGAAUGUAUAGUGCAGACAGGCCCUUAUUACCUUAUAUUAUAGAAUCUUAUAUUGAGAAGCCCUGAACCUUGGGUUAGCAACAAUUGGACCUCCCUGACAACAUCAGUCCAUGGUAUGCUUAAGGUUGUCUAUAGACCAGAGCUAAAAUGUCAAACUGGUUUACAUGCUUGGACAUCACUGGAUUCUCUGCACUUGGUGAUAGUAUGGAUUGCUUCAGAUUGAAACACACUGUAAGUAGUGUGAAGGUUCUUUUGUUAGAACUGAGAUGCCUCAUUAACACAUGCAAGUCAUCGCUUGAUAUUGCCAUCAUCAGGGGAUGAAUAUGCAUGUGUGAAUCAGCCUAUGAGUGGGGAAUUAAUUCUUGCUCCCCUUAUUCACUGUAGCCACUACUCAAACACUUGCAUACCCUACUUUCUGGGGGUGAGGGGCGGGGAGAGAAUAUAAUACAAAUGAGAUCUCUCACAGAAGGGCUGUUUAAUUAAGAAUAACUGGCUAAGCUUUGGUAGCAUUAAUUAUCUCAAGGUUUUUGCAGCUUGAUUACUUUCUGAUGGGAAAGAGCUUCUCAGCCAGACCUAUUCAAAUCAAGAUUCUUUUGUUUUGCUUUAGAGAGCCAAGAAAGAUUUCCCGGGGGAGUAUACACAGAAGCCUCUGAGAAAGCAAAGCAGAGAUGCUCAGAGUAAGAGUGACAGCUGGAGACUGAGGUUUUGCAGCAUGAAAAAUACUUGAUUUUUCUAAAGUGAGUAACUCUGCUGCUAUAAGACAAAGGGAGCAUGUUUCUAAACUGGGGGGGGGUGUGAAAUUGGUCUUAAAGGAAAUGGAGUAUUUGCUAUUAAAUUGUGAAAUAAAAUGGUUACUUCUAAUAGGAAAUGGUUGACCACACUGCUGUCAUUUUUAAGGAGAUUGGUGUCAUGACUGGGCAAGAUCCAGUCAUUGUUGCACAUUUUUAAAAAGGUAAAGAUAAAGGGACCCUUGACAGUUAAGUCCAGUCGCAGAUGACUCUGGGGUUGUGGCACUCUUCUCGCUUUACAGGCCAAGGGAGCCGGUGUUUGUCCACAGACAGUAAAUUGUAGGAACCCGAUGUCCCUUCAUGUCCCAGACCACUGCGUUCAUCUACAGAAGUCCUCCUCAUUGUCCUUCAUUUAUCAAUUAUUUGUUUAGUAUCUACACAAGCUAAGGUUUUGACCAUAAUUGCACCAAUACUUUGGAACACUGUUCUUAUUGAAAUCAGACAAGCACCUACAAUUCUGAUAUUUUGCCACCUGCUGGAAGCGUUUCUGUUUCACCGAGCAUUUGUAAUUUAUUUUAUUGUAUUCAGAUUUUGCCAUUUGUAAAGUUUUAUAAUUUUAUGAUAUUUUAAUUUUAAUUUAUUUAUUGUACAUUUCCAUUAUGUGUGUGCAUGUGUUUACCAUCAGCUGCUUUCUAACAUGCUCUGACACAAUCAUCUCACCUAUUAUAAAAAAACAAAAGCUAUUGUCCAUGGAAGGACAGAAAGCGAAUGGCUAUCUUUUUCUUAAAAAAACAAAACCAUGAAGCAGAAUUAUUUCAUUCUAGACUAAUUAAACAAACUUAUUACUAAUAACUCACAGAGACAGAGACAUCAAUGGAAGUGGUAGAGCUUUCCAGUGCUGUGAUGGACAGAGUACCAGGCUGUUAGUAUUCUCAACUCUGAAGCAUCAGAUAGAUAAAUACAAACACAAAUACAAGCUUGCUAGACUAAUACCUAUGAGAAAUAGCCAUUGGGCCAUGUUCAAGGUCUUCUUGCUAACAUAUAAAACUCUGAACAAUAUGGAACCAGGUUACCCAAAGGACUCUGUGUAGAACUGUAACAUCAUCUAUGUCAUCUGGGAAAAAAAUGCUCAUGGCAGAAUAUUGCAGACUGGUGGCCUCAAAAUGAGCAUUUUCCUCUAUUACUCCUACAUUCUGAAAUUCUCUUCCCUGUGCCAUAUGUGAAACAUCAUCCAACAGUUGCUGCCAGUGACAGACACUUCCGUGGAACACUGGAGAGAUGCUACCAGUCAGUAUAGACCGGGGUGCAGAAUGUGGACCCCUCCAGAUGUUGCUGGACAACAACUCCAUCAUCCCUGACCAUUGGCCAAGCUGGCUGGGGUUGAUGGAAUCUGGAGUCCGACUACAAACCUAGAGGUUCCUCAUCCCUCGUGAAAAUAUGGCUGAGCUAUAUGGAACAAACAUCUCACUCAAUAUAACGCAGCUUCCUCUGUCCACAUGAGCAAAUGUAAACAUCAAAUUAUGCUGUUCUGGUAAUGCAAUUGCUGACAUCCUUUUAAGUGGAAACAUGCUGGUUUUGACCUUUAAAAGUCUGGGACCUACACAUAUUCAGAGAGUGCUUCUAUCUAUAUUAAACCCCACCUUCCCAUCUUACCACCCUGCUUAGGAAGAUAAUACAAUCAAUCCCUGCUGAGAAUUCUGACAGUAUUUGAAAUCUUCGUCUUAAACCUUCUAGAGAGCUUGGGGAAGGGAAGGGGGAGUUCAGAAACAGUUCUCCAGGUAGAUUGCUAUCACAUCCUCUUGCACUGCCUUAAGCAUUGCACACUGACUGAGCUACUGGAGCUCUUUAGCUCUGAUGGUAAUCCAUGGGAAUCCAUGGGAAGAAUCAGAACCUCAGGAAAAGAAGUGUUAUAAAAUAGCCUUCCCAAUUUUGAGUCAGCCUUGGGAAAGAGGAGUGCAUAUGACUAUUUUCUUUAUUUGAUAUGGUAUAUCAUGCAGCAACAGAACAUUAUGGGCAGAAAUGGGGUGUAUACAUUGUUGAAAUGUAUUAUAGUUCAACAAGAGGCAAUAUAUGGAUACACUUUUAACUAACACGUAUGUUGAAGCAGCAUAUAGAAUACGGGCUAAAUUAUCAAUGACCAGUGCAAUGCAUUCUCACCAGUUCAAUGGAAUUAUGGCCUCAUCCACAUGAUACAUUUAAAACAGUUAAUGUACCACUUUAAACAUACAUGGCUUCCCCGAAAGAAAUCUGGGAAUUGUAGUUUGUUAAGGGUGCUGAGAGUUCUUAGGAGACUUGCAUUCCCCUUGCAGAUUUACAAUACACAGAGUGGUUUAACAAUCAAUCCCUCUUCCCAGGGAACUCUAGGAAACAAAGCCCACCUUCAGCAUAAAAAGCCCUAGAAAUGCAUUCAAUUUUGUAACAACAACAACAACAACAACAACAAUAAAUUAGUGGCUGGUUUCCCCAGCCACUCUGGGUGGCUUCCAACAACAUAUUAAAAAUACAAUAAAACAUCAGAUAUUAAAAAACUUCCCUAAACCAGGCUGCCUUCAGAUGUCUUCUAAAAAUCAGACAGUUGUUUAUUUCCUUGAAAUCUGAUGGGAGGGUGUUCCACAGGGUGGGCGCCACAACCAAGAAGGCCCAAGGCAUGUUACCCUAGCCAGUGUUAGCAGAUUGGUAGUAAAACACAUCAUCAUUUCUUAAUAGACAAAUUGUCAAAUGCCUUUCUGAAGGAUUGACAUGUUGACAAAUUCCCUUCUGAGGGAUAACUCAGUUAGUAGAGCAUGAAACUCUCAGUGUCCUGGGUACGAGCCCCACUUGGGUGAAAAUUCCUGCAUUGUAGGGAGCUGGACUAGAUGAUCCUUGUAGUCCCUUCCAACUCUACAAUUCUAUGAUUCUAUGAUUCUAAGAAAGUGUCUGUAGGUUGGCAGAAACCAUAUAAUGUUUUUGGGGCCGUUUUUCUAACCAGGGACAGCUUUCCACAUAAAAAUGCUCCAAAAUAAUGUUAAUACUUGUUUUGCAUUGUAGUAUCCCCCCCCCCCCCCAAUAGCUACUUGGAUUUCUUUUUCAGACUCUGGAUGAAGGCUAAAAAAAAAGUUUUGUUUAUUUUUAUUCUUCCCUUCUUUUGCAGGCUUUUGCAUGGAUUUGCUAAUUCAAAAUAGUUGUUUGUCUGUAAAGUGUAAAAUUGUAUGCACUUGACUGUAUUCUAGGGGCUGAUCUGAUAUAUUAACAAUAAAGAUUGAUUGAGUGAACAAAGAGUUUACCAUUUUGUUUGUAUACAUGUGUGGAUGCAUAUGUAUGUAUGGAUGAAUAAAUAUGCAUAGAGUAGAUUUAACGGUUUCAUAACUUUAACAUUAUGUUACUGAUUUUUGUAUGUACACAUUAUGCCUGUGUGUGUUUAAGUGGAAUUAUAUUCUGUUCUGUUCUGUUCUGUUGGCAAUAAACAAAAACAGAGGCCUUACAUGAGUUUAGGGAAAACCUUACCCAGGUCCCAUAUGCCACUCCCACCCCCCUUCACUAUGCUGAUUCUGCUCAAUGUCAUUUCUGCCCAGAGUCAUGACAAAAUUCUUGCUAUCACCUAACAUAAUGAAGCAUUUCACUGAGGGAAAGGCAACUUGUCCCACAAUUGAGGUUGGGAGGGAAAAAAUCAUUUCCAUCAUUGGAUGGCUUUAAAAUAAUAAUUUAAAAAUGCAUGGAUGGUAAUGCGAUCAGCUAUCAAUAGCAGCAACAUACAGGAAGUUGCCAAGAAUGUGCAUUGCAAACAGGACAGAAACUAAAGAGUUACAGCAAAAAAGAAAAGAAGAAAAAGAGGGGGGGGAGAGAAAAAAGAUAGCUAGUUUGGAUGUUUGGUCAUCCAGAUCACACAUGCACAGAAAACAGAAAUUAACUUGUAAUCAAUCUUGGUUUAAAGUAAGAUUUGUUAGGGCUCAGUAGACAUCCAAGUAUUAAAAAACCCUGAUAGAUCUGACCUAUGAAUCACCCAAUUUUGAGUUUCAGCAACAUCCUAAUAAUGCAGCACUGCCCCAUUUAAUGAUACUGGCUGUUCUUCCUAACAAAAUUAGUGGGAAGAAUCUGCCAUUCUUACCUUGGUGUAGUCCUUUCUCACAUGUAAAUCUUUCUUCUUUCUUUACAGUUGAAAGAAGAAUGUUUGAGGAUCUGGG
rnacentral:lncRNA from 1 species